rnacentral:tRNA from 1 species
UUCAAGUCCUGCACCUCCUG